UACGUAGGGGGCAAGCGUUGUCCGGAAUCAUUGGGCGUAAAGAGCGUGUAGGCGGCCCGAUAAGUCCGCUGUGAAAGUCCAGGGCUCAACCCUGGGAUGCCGGUGGAUACUGUCGGGCUCGAGUCCGGAAGAGGAGUGUGGAAUUCCUGGUGUAGCGGUGAAAUGCGCAGAUAUCAGGAGGAACACCAAUGGCGAAGGCAGCACUCUGGGACGUGACUGACGCUGAGACGCGAAAAGCGUGGGGGAGCAAACAGGG
rnacentral:rRNA from 1 species